rnacentral:rRNA from 1 species
AGCGAACGCUGGCGGCAGGCCUAACACAUGCAAGUCGAACGAACCUUUCGGGGUUAGUGGCGGACGGGUGAGUAACACGUGGGAACGUGCCUUUAGGUUCGGAAUAACUCAGGGAAACUUGUGCUAAUACCGAAUGUGCCCUUCGGGGGAAAGAUUAAUCGCCUUUAGAGCGGCCCGCGUCUGAUUAGCUAGUUGGUUGAGGGAAUGGCUCACCAAGGCGACGAUCAGUAGCUGGUCUGAGAGGAUGAUCAGCCACAUUGGGACUGAGACACGGCCCAAACUCCUACGGGAGGCAGCAGUGGGGAAUCUUGCGCAAUGGGCGAAAGCCUGACGCAGCCAUGCCGCGUGAAUGAUGAAGGUCUUAGGAUUGUAAAAUUCUUUCACCGGGGACGAUAAUGACGGUACCCGGAGAAGAAGCCCCGGCUAACUUCGUG